AGAUUGAACGCUGGCGGCAUGCUUUACACAUGCAAGUCGAACGGCAGCACGGGGGCAACCCUGGUGGCGAGUGGCGAACGGGUGAGUAAUGCAUCGGAACGUAUCUUUAAGUGGGGGAUAACGCAUCGAAAGAUGCGCUAAUACCGCAUAAUCUCUGAGGAGAAAAGCAGGGGAUCGCAAGACCUUGCGCUUUUUGGAGCGGCCGAUGUCUGAUUAGCUUAGUUGGUGGGUAAGGCUUACCAAGGCUUCGAUCAGUAGCUGGUCUGAGAGGACGACCAGCCACGACUGGGACUGAGACACGGCCCAGACUCCGUACGGGAGGCAGCAGGUGGGGAAUUUUGGACAAGUGGGGGAAACCCUGAUCCAGCCAUGCCGCG
rnacentral:rRNA from 1 species